UUCAGGUAAUAGAACCUUCUUAAGCACACAGCUAGAACACACGAUUUUAGUAUUACUGCCAAUUAUUUCAUCAAAUAAACGAGCUGUAAUUCAUUUGGAAUAAAAUUGUUUUAGCACUGUUUAUGAAACCUACCAGAGUCAUUAAACGCUGUGGAGAAAUUUGUUCGGGUUUCUGCAUUUCUAUUCACAAGAUGAGGUUGGUGAUGAUGACAACUUGUUUUUAGAAGUUUUUUAUUUUUUCCUUCUUUCCUUUUUUCGCCUACUUAUAUGAUUUCAAGGAUUUUUGGUUUUGGUUAAUUGAUAAGAAAUUUAAGGUGAUGCGGAGGUAAAUGAUAAUUUACAAAUUGAGAUUGUGGUAAGGCAGAAAUAUUUAUUAAGUAAAGAAGGAAAAUAAAUCUCAGAGACUACAACACUCCAGAGGUUUUACUCUGAGUACCAAAAUGUUAAUCGGCUGAUUUACUUUGUGUCAAUUCCAUUUGAAUCAAAAAGGCAUCUAUUUUAAGUUGGGAAAGACUUGUUGCUGCUUGAAAAGUAAAGGACAGAAAUUGGCCACGGUCCUCACAGGAAAGCAGUCCAGACCAGCAGCCUCAGCAUCAUCAUCAUCCGUGGACUGGGCUAUAAGGUGUUGAAAGAAAGCGUACACAUGACUUAGUGAGGAAGAAUGGUGGACCAACCAGAUCAACACUCGUAGCCAAUGAUAGAUCAGCACUCGCUUGACCACAGAUGAAAGUGUCUAACUCGAUCGGGAGGAAGUGAAGAAGGAGGUGAACCCUGUGGUGGGUACGAUAGAUUUCUUUUUGUGUGAGAAUUUUUCCUGCCUUUGAAAGUAACACGUGUUCAUUAUAGAAAAAAAGUAACAUAUAUAGGAGUAUGAAGAAGAAAAGAAAAAUCAGCCUUAAAGUCACCACCAGGAGAUGGUGAUUGUGGUAAACUGUAUUAUUUUUCUAAUACUCACUCCUUCUCAAUAUGAUGUGUGGAGUCCUCCCUGUAAGAGGACAGUUCCUCGUGCCCCAGGAAAGCCAGUCUUGUCCACAGGACUUGCUUCAGCCAAUGGAAUACCAGUGGAAAUGAUGUGGGAGUUCUGAGUACCUUUAAAAGUCAACCACCUGGUUUCUGCUUGGCUCUUUUCUCUCUGCCAUGAGAAGGACAAAGUACCAAAGAAGGGCUGUUCCUUCAGACUAAGUAGCAGAGCAAAGAGGACACAUGAAGCAGAGCUACGGCUGACCCCCGGUGACGCGAGACAAGAACAAGAAUUGAACUUUUGUUGUUAUGUCACUAAAUUUUAGGAUUAUUUAUUACAGCAUAAACUCAUAAAAAUCUAAAUUAUAGUAUAUUUUAUUCUACUCUUUAUAUACAUGUAUGUAUAUCUAAUGAAUAAAAUAUAAAUAUAUACAUUUCUACAUAAAUGCAUAUUUUAAAUAAUUGGGGUGAUUUUCACUUAACAUAUUUCUUUGUGAUUUACUUUUUUCUCUGAUAAUUUUCAAGUAUAAUUAUCCCUCUCUUCCAUGACUUU
rnacentral:lncRNA from 1 species